rnacentral:rRNA from 1 species
CUACGGGACGCUGCAGUGGGGAAUAUUGCACAAUGGAGGAAACUCUGAUGCAGCAACGCCGCGUGGAGGAUGACACUUUUCGGAGCGUAAACUCCUUUUAUAUAGGAAGAAGAUGACGGUACUAUAUGAAUAAGCGCCGGCUAACUCCGUGCCAGCGAGCCGCGGUAAUACGGAGGGCGCAAGCGUUACUCGGAAUCACUGGGCGUAAAGAGCGUGUAGGCGGAUUAAAAAGUCAGAAGUGAAAUCCUAUAGCUUAACUAUAGAACUGCUUCUGAAACUCUUAAUCUAGAAUAUGGGAGAGGUAGAUGGAAUUUCUGGUGUAGGGGUAAUAUCCGUAGAGAUCAGAAGGAAUACCGAUUGCGAAGGCGAUCUACUAGAACAUUAUUGACGCUGAGACGCGAAAGCGUGGGGAGCAAACAGGAUUAGAUACCCGAGUAGUC